GACGUAGGAUGCGAGCGUUAUCCGGAAUUAUUGGGUGUAAAGCGUUUGUAGGCGGUUUAUUAAGUUGGGUGUUAAAGCUUUGAGCUUAACUCAAAAUUGGUACCCAAAACUGAUAGGCUUGAGACAAGGAAAGGCAGAUGGAAUUCUGUAUGUAGGGGUAAUAUCCGUAGAUAUACAGAGGAACACCAAAAGCGAAGGCAGUCUGCUGGCCUUGUUCUGACGCUGAGAAACGAAAGCGUGGGGAUCAAACGGG
rnacentral:rRNA from 1 species